rnacentral:misc_RNA from 1 species
UCUUUCUUCUAUUUUUAACCCGGUUGGUUUUUAUUUCCCCAAAAUUUCUUGUUUUUUUUUUUGUUUUAAUUAUCAUUAACAUCACAAAAUAAAGCAGAAAUUAUGAGUGAAUACAGAUCAAUCAGGAUCAUAAUAGAAUCACAAGCAAUCAUAUAAACAAGGAGAUUCCAUGAAGUGUACUAUAUGGUAACAAUUGUAUGUUAAACAAGACAAAAAUUAUGUCACCAAAUCAACCACUUCAUGGAAUCUCCUUGUUUAUAUGAUUGCUUGUGAGGCAUCCACAUUAUAAAGUAUACCCACACCUCCUUGGUUCUCUUUUGAAAAAUGGGUGCCCUAAAGCUUCUCUGGCUUUGAGCCGUUCCGCUGGAUCAUACCGUAAGAGCCCUUGCAAGAGAUCAAUCAGAUCACCGGCAGAAUGAUCGACGUGCUGCAUAAUCAGGUUCGGCAAACGGGGCAACUUCCAAACUGCUCUCAUGCUUUCUCUUGAAGUUGCACCGUCAGGCCAAUCUAAUCGCGUGCCUCUCCUGAAAUAUUUCUCAGCAUGACGGUCAGCUCUGACCGCCAUAUGCUGUGGCAGGGGCCCUAAAACCCUUUCCAUCAUAGCAAGAUGCUCCAAGUUCUCGUGUGUUUGAAAAAGAGCCUCACCAGAACAUAGUUCAACAAGUAUGCAACCCACACUCCAUAAAUCACAAGGAUAGUUCCAUCUCAGACCUAAGAUAACCUCUGGUGCACGAUAAUGGCGUGUUGACACCACAUAGCUGUGAUCCUGAUGCUCAAAUGUAGUACUUCCAAAAUCAAUGAGCUUAAUAGCACUUGACUUGGGCAGAUUCUUGAAAUAGGAGCCAUCUUUUGUGGACCGUGAAAGAAACUUACAAUCUGGCACUUUGAUAUACUCAGAGGAAACUAGUAGAAUAUUCUCCGGCUUCAAAUCAGUGUGAAUUAGUCGUAGAUCAUGCAUAAAUGCAACAGACUCCAAAAGUUGUCUGCCAAGCUCCCGAACAAGAUCAAUGGGAAAUGAACGGUAGCUGUUUUUGCGAAGAAAAUCAUAUAAGCUUGGUCCAAGCUUCUCAAAUACAAUACAAAUAUGAUUACGAUAGUCAAACCAAUUCCGUAUUUGCACACAACGAGUGCCACCAAUGUCAUGUCUGGCAAGCCUCUGUAGGACGUCAAUUUCAAUCAUGGCAGCUUCACGAUACUUGUGUAUGGAGCGAACAAUUUUUAUCGCCACAACUUCUUUCUUUUCAUUAUCAAAACAUUCCAAGACUUGCCCAAAUGUCCCUUCACCCAUUUUGCUAAGAAUCCUGUAGCUAGGUGUCAAAUUCUCGCCAAUAGCAAAGACAUAAUGCCCAUCUUUAUCAUCAGGUCUCCAAGGAGGGGAGCCAUUGCGAGGAACUGGAACAUCCCUGUAAAACAAAUUUGUAUAUGCAUAAUUGGGAAUCACUCCAUUCCCAAAAUCCUGCCCACAGUACAUAGCAGAAAGGACCUUGGGAGGAGGAGGAGCAGGAGGAGGCAUGUCCCAUGUUAAACGAGGCCUCUUCCUGGGACGUUUAUCCACGUUCCUAAGAGGCAAUUCUGUUACCCUCUGCGUCUCCAUUUCUCUCAAUUCCCUUCAACACGCAGAUGCAGAAGCAUCAACAAACCCACCGAUCCAUUUGAACCGGUC